GGGUAUUGGCCUACCGUGGCAAUGACGGGUAACGGGGAAUUAGGGUUCGAUUCCGGAGAGGGAGCCUGAGAAACGGCUACCACAUCUAAGGAAGGCAGCAGGCGCGCAAAUUACCCAAUCCUAAUACAGGGAGGUAGUGACAAGAAAUAACAAUACAGGACUUUUUGGUUUUGUAAUUGGAAUGAGUUAAGUAUAAACCCCUUUACAAGUAUCAAUUGGAGGGCAAGUCUGGUGCCAGCAGCCGCGGUAAUUCCAGCUCCAAUAGCGUAUAUUAAAGUUGUUGCAGUUAAAAAGCUCGUAGUUGGAUUUCUGUUAAUAAUUUAUAUAAAAUAUUUUGAAUAUUUAUAUAACAUUAACAUAAUUCAUAUUACUAUAUUUUUUAGUAUAUGAAAUUUUACUUUGAGAAAAUUAGAGUGCUUAAAGCAGGCAUAUGCCUUGAAUACUCCAGCAUGGAAUAAUAUUAAAGAUUUUUAUCUUUCUUAUUGGUUCUAAGAUAAGAAUAAUGAUUAAUAGGGACAGUUGGGGGCAUUUGUAUUUAACAGUCAG
rnacentral:rRNA from 1 species